CCGGAAUUGCUAGUAAUGGCAGGUCAGCAUACUGCCGUGAAUACGUUCCCGGGCCUUGUACACACCGCCCGUCACACCAUGAGAGUUGGGGAUACCCGAAGCCUGUGAGCUAACUAUUUAUAGGAGCAGCAGUCGAAGGUAGAAUCAAUGAUUGGGGUGAAGUCGUAACAAGGUACC
rnacentral:rRNA from 1 species